rnacentral:lncRNA from 1 species
AAAGUAAAAAAAAAAAGAAUAGGGGUAGUUAAAUAAACGACUCAAAUAACAUAUAAUAUAUAACUAUCACCCCCAAAAUUUUAAAAAAUAUUAAAAAUCUUGAUUCAUAUUUUUUUUUUAGAAACAUAGGUGGGAGUAAAUGAAUUAUAAAAUUUUAUUAUAAGUUUUUUAUAUAAAAAUUCUGAAGUGAAAGUAAAAAAAAUAAAGAACAAGGUAUUAAAAGAAAAAGAAAUAAAGGGGUUUAAUAAAAUUUAUAUAAAAAAAUUAUACUAAAAUUCGAAAAUAAAAGUAAAAAAAACAUAAAAUGGUAUUAAAAAAUAUACAACUAUUAAAAUGUGGAAGUGAUGAGAGAGAGAGAAUGAGAGUUUAUGAUGGAGAGAGAAAGUGAAAUGGAUGGAGGAGAAAGUGAAAAGUGAUAUGUUUGGGCAGAAAAAAUAAUUUAGGUGAAAUCUGGCCUUUGAAUUACUAAAAUGAUUUCAGUCGUAGAUAGCGAGAGAUAGAUUUUGAUUCAACUUAGUUGUGAUUUGAUUUAUAUAUAUCUAUAAUAUAUCUUAAUUUUUAUUUAUUAUUUUAAAAAAUAUACAAAUCAAGAUAGACAAAAACUAGCGAUAAUAGUAAAUAACAUCAUGCUAUAGCUUAUCAAAUUAGACAAAACAUUGCUAAAAGAAAACUAUUGAAGCGAUGAAUAAGUUUCAAAGAAUUUUUGCAUAAAACCUCAAGUUUUUAAACAUUUGACUAUUGGGGAUUUUCGAAAUUAUCCAACACAUGAAUAGUUUUAUAAAAAUAAAGCAAACUCCUCUAGAACAUACAGUAUUCCACACUUAAUAGAUGACCAAUUGAAAUUAAGUAAAAUAGAUCAUGAUACUUCAAUCAACAGGAAUAUGAUAAAAUUAAGUACAUCCUAAGCAUUACAUGCAAUAUAUGUCAUAAUUAUUGUCAAUGGUCUAAGCAUACUCAUCGAAAUUUACAUAAUGACAUUGUUCCAUCAUAUGUGUUAUGCAAAAUAAAAUUUUUUUUAUUUAAAAUUCCCCCCCCCCUAAAAAAAGUUUUACAUGAAGGAGACAAGUAAUUCACACAUAAUUCACUUAAUUCAUCUUGUCUUAAUUUGUGCAUGAUUCUACUUUUCAUAAAAAUACAAAGUAUGAUAUAUCUCAAUGAAGUAUGAUGUAUUUCUAAAAUAUACGCUAAUCAUCAAAAUAAUUCCAUGACUCUAAGGGUUGCAAAGAAGGCAUUAAGCCAUAAUCUACUAAGCUCAUGUAAUGACUAGCAAUGAUGUAUUCUAAGAAAGUAAAAUAUCAAUAAUUGCAAGAAUCAUCCUUUAGCAACUAUCAUGAUGAAAAAGUAGUAUAAACUUAAUGAUCAUAAAGUUACUGAGAUAAGCAUGGUGGUAAUGUAUACAAAUCAUAAAUUCCAAGAAGACAUAUAGUACAUAUACCAUGUAAUGGAUCUAUCAUAAAAUAAAUAUCAUAUUAAAUAAAAUCAUAGAUAUAUGAAACAUCCCCGAAAUAAUUUUCAUGGCACAAGGUAUAGUCUAGAAAAGUGUGACAUAAAUUGUCAUAUUGGUUGAUGUGAAGUACAUGAUAAUCAAUAAUACAUGACUCAUUUACAUCAACAUAACAAUCUACCAUAAAUCAAUUAUAGCAUAAAGCAUGGAAUGAUAUAUGCCACAUUAGUCAUGAUAGUUGAGUUUGCCAAUUAAACUAAUAUAUGCUACAUAUACAGAUGCAUAUAUGUAAGCCACUUAAAGCAUGGUUAUUCUAACACAUUAUGCGUCAAUUAUCUAAGAACACCACUUAAAAUUUAUUCAAGAUUGAGUACAAAGAUGUGUUAGAGAUCAUACCUUUACCUACCUAUUUGGCACCUUGGCCCAAGUAAUUUUCCCAUUAUACUCUUUGUAGGCGAAGAAGGUUUUGAAGUGAGGGUGAUGGAUGUACUCAUUUGAUUUCUUUCUCUUUUCAACUAUUGAAUGAGGAUUGCCAAUGUCCCUCCGUUUCUUAUCCUUUUUGUAGGCAUUUCUUUCUUCCUCUUAGGACGAGGACACUUAAACUCUCACAAGUGUUUAGCUUUUACAAGAGAAACACUCAAACUCUCACUAAAUAUUUUAUCCACGCUACAACUCAAACUUACAAGUAUUUUUAUCUAAGCUACAACUCCAAAUUUAUAAGGAUUAAGUGUAUGAAAAUGAUGCAGUUGAACACAAACUCAUCUUGAAAGAGUAGAUAGGAGUGGAAUAACUAAAUCUUGCGGAACUAGAGGAAUUUUGAGAGAAUAAGUAAUUUGAAGCACUUUGAUGAUCAAUCCAUGUUAUAAUGUAGUUCUUCACUUUCUAAAUAUUGUUGGAGACUUGAUUAAUGGUUUUGAAGCUUCAUGUAGGCCGUUGGAGGUAGUUGAGGAUCAUUAAUGCUUGAUUUGGGACCUCUCAACUACUACAACAAAAAUGUUAAAGAGUGACAAAUUAAAUUUGUCUCGAAUUGUUAUGUUUUUCCUCACAAAUAGUUAGGUGACAAAACGGGUGACAAAAUUAUUUUCCAACAAAAAGGUUCGUCAAAAAAGUCCUCCUUAGUGACAAAAUUUUUAUUUCGCACCUUAGUGCUGUUUUAUGACAAAUUUAUUUCGUCACUAUAAUGAAUAUUUUAUGAUGAAAUAUUUUUGUCACCAUUUUACCAUAUUUUUUUUGUCACUAGUUAUCCAUUUUGGGUCACAAAUAGUGCUAAAAAUUGAAGAUGUAAACAACAUAGGUUGGAAAAGCUUUCCGUUUCUUCAACCUUUGUGACUGUCUUAUGAUGAAAUUUAUUUUGUCACUAUCGUGAGUGUCUUAUGACAAUUUCAUUUCGUCACUAUAGUUACUGUUUGAUUAAUGACAAAAUAUUUUCUCUUAUUUUACUAUGUUUGUCCACCAAUCAUCCAUUUCAUCCCCAAUCUUGUUAAAAGUAAUCUUAUAAAGACAUAGGUGAGAAAAAUAUUUUUGUCACCUAAAUUUUUAAAUUAAAAUUAUAAAAAGAUUAAAGGUUAGAAAAAUAUUUUCACCCUCUCAUUUCAAAUAACCAAUCAGUGACAAUUUAGAAUAUAACAAUCUCAAUUAAUAAACACCACAACCAAAAUUCCUAACCAUAAUAAUUACACAUCUUUCGCCAUAACAUGUCCUCAUAUCUCAAUGACAAAAGUAAGCAAUUAGAUCAUAUAAUGUUCAUUAUGUAGUAUAAUUCUCGUCCAUACACAUAAAAAGAAUAAUAUAACAUAUUGAAAAACUAAAAAUAUCGAAGAUUUGACUUUAAUCUAAAAAAAAGAACAAGUAUUUCCAAAGACGUCUUCGUAGAAUAGCACUCAUGUCAUCCCGCUGGCCAACCUUUUACAUAUUACAAUCUACAAAUGUAAAAACAAAGCUGACUCCCUCAAUAAAUAUUGUGAAACAACAAAAUGGUAAAGAAUUUCCUAGUGCCAUAUGCUUUAAUAACCAGUAUCAAGUGUCCCAUAUGAAACUAAAACAUGAUUCAAUGAGGUGGCAGGAUAAGCGACAAUGGAGGAGUAUAAAAUGGCCUAACACUUCCUUGUUAUGAAUUUAAGAGAAAGGAGGAAAAAUAUAAGUCCAAACCUAGUCAAAACAACUCCCUCAAGUUAUCUUGCAAACUUUUGAAGAUGCAUGGAGGUAGUGAUUUCUAAAUCCUGUCACCUGUGAUGUAUUUAUUAUACUAUGUCCCUUUUAGAGCUUUUUAUGUAAUUUUCAAAUCUGUAUCGGUGUCAAUUAUAACUAUACGGAACUUUGUUAGUCUUGUAAUGUGUUUUCUUACUACUACUCAUAUUAAAAUUCUUUGACUAGUACCACCAAGUUAUUUGGACCAUUUUGAUGACAGGACAAGGCUAGGGAAGAGAGAACUAAUCACUGGUAUGGCCUGUAAAUAGCCUAUACAUUACCCACAUUUAGGUCAUGGCUAAUUCCUUUGAUCCUUAUAUGUACAGCAUCAACUUAAACGUUACAUCGCAGUUAUAUCCUGGUAUCACAUCUUCAUUAACUUGAUUCUUUCAGGCUACAUACGUUAAAGGUCAAUCCAACAUGUAUAGAUCUUGAUGGAGC